rnacentral:rRNA from 1 species
GUGAGCCGCCGCGGUAAUACCGGCAGCUCAAGUGAUGUCCCAUAUUAUUGGGCCUAAAGCGUCCGUAGCUGGCCGACCAAGUCUCCCGGGAAAUCCACCCGCCCAACAGGUGGGCGUCCGGCGGAAACUGUGUGGCUUGGAACCGGAAGGCUCAGAGGGUACGUCCGGGGUAGGAGUGAAAUCCCGUAAUCCCGGACGGACCACCGAUGGCGAAAGCACUCUGAGAAGACGGCUUCAACAGUGAGGGACGAAAGCUAGGGUCUCAAACCGGAUUAGAAACCCCUGUAGUCC